rnacentral:rRNA from 1 species
GAUGAACGCUGGCGGCGUGCCUAAUACAUGCAAGUCGAACGAGGUGCUUUUGUAGCAAUACGAGAGUAUCCUAGUGGCGAACGGGUGAGUAACGCGUUGGUGACCUACCCCAAAGUGUGGGAUAACAGUCCGAAAGGAUUGCUAAUACCGCAUGUGGUCUUCGGAUUUAGAAACUGAUGACUAAAGGAGCAAUUCGCUUUGGGAGGGACCUGCGUCCCAUCAGCUAGUUGGUGAGGUAAUGGCUCACCAAGGCUACGACGGGUAGGGGACCUGAGAGGGUGACCCCCCACAAUGGAACUAGAAACAACGGUCCACUACACCUACGGGUGGCAGCAGUAGGGAAUAUUGCACAAUGGGCGGAAAGACCUGAUGCAGCAACGCCGCGUGUGCGAUGAAGGCCUCGGUC